rnacentral:rRNA from 1 species
AGCGCAAGCAUGAUCCAGCCAAACAGCGGGGGUGAUGAAGGCCUUCCCCCCUGUAAAGCACUUUCAGUUGGGAGGAAGGAUUGUGUGUUAAUAGUACACAGCCUUGACGUUACCAACAGAAGAAGCACCGGCUAACUCUGUGCCAGCAGCCGCGGUAAUACAGAGGGUGCAAGCGUUAAUCGGAAUUACUGGGUGUAAAGCGCACGUAGGCGGUUUUUUAAGUCAGAUGUGAAAGCCCCGGGCUCAACCUGGGAAUUGCAUUUGAAACUGGAAAACUAGAGUGUGUGAGAGGGGGGUAGAAUUCCAAGUGUAGCGGUGAAAUGCGUAGAGAUUUGGAGNGNANANUACCAGNUGGCGAAGGCGGCCCCCUGGCACAACACUGACGCUCAGGUGCGAAAGCGUGGGGAGCAAACAGGAUUAGAUACCCUGGUAGUCCACGCCGUAAACGAUGUCGACUAGCCGUUGGGAUCCUUGAGAUCUUAGUGGCGCAGCUAACGCAUUAAGUCGACCGCCUGGGGAGUACGGCCGCAANGNGUUAAAACUCAAAUGAAUUGACGGGGGCCCGCACAAGCGGUGGAGCAUGUGGUUUAAUUCGAUGCAACGCGAAGAACCUUACCUACUCUUGACAUCCAGAGAACUUUCCAGAGAUGGAUUGGUGCCUUCGGGAACUCUGAGACAGGUGCUGCAUGGCUGUCGUCAGCUCGUGUUGUGAAAUGUUGGGUUAAGUCCCGCAACGAGCGCAACCCUUAUCCUUUGUUGCCAGCGGUCCGGCCGGGAACUCAAAGGAGACUGCCAGUGAUAAACUGGAGGAAGGUGGGGAUGACGUCAAGUCAUCAUGGCCCUUACGAGUAGGGCUACACACGUGCUACAAUGGCGCAUACAAAGAGAAGCGACCUCGCGAGAGCAAGCGGACCUCAUAAAGUGCGUCGUAGUCCGGAUUGGAGUCUGCAACUCGACUCCAUGAAGUCGGAAUCGCUAGUAAUCGUAGAUCAGAAUGCUACGGUGAAUACGUUCCCGGGCCUUGUACACACCGCCCGUCACACCAUGGGAGU